GUGAGGAAUAUUGGUCAAUGGGCGCAAGCCUGAACCAGCCAUCCCGCGUGCAGGAAGACGGCGCUAUGCGUUGUAAACUGCUUUUCCAGGGAGAGAAACUUGCGCACGUGUUGCGCAAUUGACGGUACCCUGGGAAUAAGCAUCGGCUAACUCCGUGCCAGCAGCCGCGGUAAUACGGAGGAUGCGAGCGUUAUCCGGCUUCAUUGGGUUUAACGGGUGCGUAGGCGGACUAUUAAGUCAGUGGUGAAAUCCUGCAGCUUAACUGCAGAACUGCCAUUGAUACUGAUAGCCUUGAGUUUGGUUAAGGUAGGCGGAAUGUGUAAUGUAGCGGUGAAAUGCUUAGAUAUUACACAGAACACCAAUUGCGUAGGCAGCUUACUGAGCCGACACUGACGCUGAGGCACGAAAGCGUGGGGAUCGAACAGGAUUAGAAACCCCUGUAGUCC
rnacentral:rRNA from 1 species